ACGGUUAAGCCGGGAAAACAGCGGCUAGUUUGGGAGGGAAGAAACCCCUUGGGCAAACGCCCAAAGCCUGCGUAUAUUCUGGCCGGAGCAUCCUGGCCCCCAGUUUGGGGAGGAGGGGUGAAGGGGAAGAUCUGGAU
rnacentral:lncRNA from 10 species